UUUCACAGUUUACAAACAGCUGGAAUGGUUUGGCGUUUUCAAAAGCAUAUAGGCAAGGGGAGUUCUCAAGAGAGACCGAUCAGAAAGGAUUUCUUAACUGGCACUACUGGCAGAGACGGAGACCGCGGCUGGGGCAAGUGGUGGGGGACGGCACUGAACUUCCCUAAGGACCCCAAGGGUUCAGCCGAGGGACCGGCACCCACUCCGCUCACCGAAGGCUCCCUCCCUACAGUACGGAACACACCCGAAACUCAGCCGACAAGGCGCAGGGGAGCAGAGCAAAGACAUUGCAACCAGAAGCCCAAGGCCGGCUGACUCUUUCAGACCCUGGGGCAGCCCCCGGUAGGCACCCCGCCGAGCCCGCAGGACGCGGCUCCAAGGCAGGGUUCGCCCGGGCCGGGGCCAGAGCGGAGCCACAGCUGUAUGGCGCCCUGCGCCCUCCGGUGCUGCAGCGGAGCACGGCCAGAAGCCACGGACCCCGAGCGCCUCUCUGCAGCCGCCGCUCCCGCCCCCGCCCCCGCCCCCGCCCCCUCCUGGGGACCCGACACCUCCGUCUCCACUCCCCCCAGCCCACGUUCCCCCAACUCUUCUCACCCUCCAGGAGCGGUGACCGGCGAAGCUCCUUCUUUUCGCGUAGAGGGACUGUGCGCGUCCCGCCUGGCUGUGGGUAGGGGUCUGGGAGCUCUGGCCGCUAACACUUCUGCUCCAGCCGCUGGGAGUACUCUGGCUGCCGCUGCCGCCGCCGCCGCCGUCUCCAGCAGCAAGUUUCCAUAAAAGUCCUGGUGCGCAGCCUGUUCCCGCAUUCCAGGCGGGCCCAGUGCCGGCUGCAGCUGUUCCAAAACACAAGGCCAGUUUCCCCAACCCCCACCUCCGCCGUAUCACCCGGAGGGCGGGGUGGAGAGUCGAGGAGAAAAGCAGGGGAGGGGGACCGUGGCUGCCAACUUUCCGCCAGAAUUUGUCUGUCUCCCAGCCCUAGGUGCGCGAGCUGACCCCCUAACCUUGGGCCUGCCUCCACCUCCAGCCAGGCCUGGGGAAGGAAGGCUGUCUCCGCCAUGGGAAAGGAAUGAGGGUGAAAUGGACUUCAUUACCGGGCUGGAGCUGGCUCCCCCUACCCGCAACCCGUUUGCUCUGGGGCCCACUUCUCUCAGCUACUCUACCCGUCCUAGUUUCCAGUCAAGAAGCCAAGCCACUGCAUAUCUUCUACUACCCUAAGCAUUGACCUUUGGCCAAGUUUUCCUUUAUUACAAAGAGCGUGGGGCAGCAAUCCGGGAACACUUCAUCUGUCUAUUGCUCCCCUUUUCUUAGCUCCAGUCUUUAACUCUAAAAGGAGAGUUAAAAAAAAAAGAAGAACAAGAAGAAAGUUGAAGGCAGAGGAGGAGGAGGAGAAGAAAAAAAGGAAUAUAUUUAUAUAAGUACAAAUAUUUCACCUUUUUCUUAAUUGAGGGCAAACCAUAUCUGGUCUUUCUAAAGCUUCAUAAAGGCAUCUUUGACUAUGAGACACCCACAGACCUUUUUCAACUUGGACCGCCAGCCUGUCAAACCCAUCAGACAAUACCAUAUUAAAACCCGAAAUGCACACUCAGAGGGAGCAUUUUUGGUGGACGAGAUCUUUAAUUCUUCACUGCACUUGAAAAAAAAAAUCGAAAUGACAUCCAGAUAAAGAAUAAAGAUGGAUUCUCGCUCUGUUGCCCAGGCUGGAGUGCAAUGGCGUGAUCUCAGCUCACUGCAACCUCUGCCUCCCAGGUUCAAGCAAUUCUCCUGCCUCAGCCUCCCGAGUAGCUGAGAUUACAGGCACGCGAUGCCACGCCCGGCUCAUUUUUUGUAUUUUAGUGGAGAUGGGGUUUCACCGUGUUGCCCAGGCUGGUCGCGAACUCCUGAGCUCAGGCAAUCCACCCGCCUCAGCCUCCCAAAGUGCUGGGAUUACACGCCGUGAGCCACCGCACCUGGCCCCUGGGACUAUUCUCACACAGAGUUAUUAUUAAAUAAGAAUUAGCAAAGUUCAGGAAGUCAUAUAUUUCAAGUGCUUUCUAAUUCAAAGUGCUUCUCUAUAUUCAAGUACUAUGGUAUCAUUUCAAACAUAGCAAAUUAUAAAAGUUCUGUAAUUUCCUAAAUAUAAAUGUACUUUGUGAAAGGCUUCUGUGACACACAUAAAAGACAUAUUUGAUGUACCAGUUGCUUUGCUGUGGCUUUUAAGAAUAAAAAGUAUCAUAGAAGG
rnacentral:antisense_RNA from 1 species